AGCACCUCUAGAGGGCGCACAAGGCUUCCGCUGUUCUGUACUGGGAUUCAUUCAGCAGCAGAAAGUACAAGCCCAAAGGCAGAGCAUUGAUAACAAUUGUUAAUAUGGAUGCAGCAUUUCCAGCACUGAGCAACACAGGACUAUUUUUUGGAUAGAAACAAUAAUAUUCCAGAGCUGGUAACCACAACAGAUUUGGCAAUGCUUACAGAGCUUUACAUAAUAUGGGGAAACAUAUAGCUACAAGAAAGGAAUGGAUGGGCCCAGCUGCUAAUAUAAUGUUUACAGACAACAGAGGGUUCUGGGAACUGGAGUGCAGAGAAUCUCCUGUGCAUUGACUUACACCUAUGAAAAACACUAGAAAGCCCCCAAACAUUGAUGCUUGUUUCCAUUUAAUAACAUGACUGUGGAUCUGCAGCAAUAACUCAGCCUUUUCUUAUUUGUGUGUUUUACUCACGCAGUAGAAUUCUUCCUUCUAAGCAAAUGCUCUUUCAAGCAAACAAAAGACAAGGUUCCUCAAAUCUAAUUUGAUCUAGAAAUUCACUUUAAAGCAAGUCUUCUUCUAUUUGUUAUUGGCACAUCUCAAUGCAAAGUUGCAAACCCAAUUAAAAUUUUUAUUUUGCAGUG